AGAGAGAGCAGAGCGUUCUCUGGCUCUCCUAUCCUCGGGCCAUCCCCACCAUGGCCUCCUUCCCCUCGCCCUCCGUCGCCGCCCCGCGCCUCGCCCCGGGCCUCUCCCUAUCCGCCGCCGCCGUCCACCACUCCUCCCACUUCCGCCCACGCCCACGCGCCGCCGCGGCGCGCCGCCCGUCCCUCGCCCUCCCCCCCUCCGCCAUCGCCGCGCCCGCCAACCCCCUCCGCUGCUCCUACCGCCGCGCCGUCUCGCCCCGGUUGAGGAAGCGGGCGCAAGGGCUCGGGUCCGCGUCGGCGUCGGCGGCCGGGGUUCUCGGCGAGGAGCGGGACGGCGGGUGCCUAUCGUGCUUCCCCAGGACCCGGAGGCGGGGCCGGCCGGGCCUCGCCAGCUUCGCGCCCUGCGCGCUCCCGCACGCCUCGGGCUUAUCGCUUCACGGCCGCUGGGGCAGGCCCAAGACCAGGCAUAGUCACAUAUUGCGCGCUGCUGGACCUGACGAGCCACAUGUUGCAAGCCCAACAUGGUCUGAGGCAGCUCUCGAUAAACCCUAUCUUGAUCAAGGGAUUGAAAACGAGGAGCUUGAAGCUGUCCUGGACACACCUCUUCCUUCCCAUCCAAAGCUUAUCCGGGGCCAGUUGAAGAAUGGCCUCAGAUAUCUUAUUUUGCCAAACAAAGUUCCGGCUGAUAGGUUCGAGGCUCACAUGGAAGUUCAUGUUGGAUCAAUUGACGAGGAAGAGGAUGAGCAGGGAAUCGCACAUAUGAUCGAGCAUGUUGCAUUCCUUGGGAGUAAAAAGCGCGAGAGACUCUUGGGGACAGGUGCAAGGUCUAAUGCAUAUACAGACUUCCACCAUACAGUCUUCCAUAUCCAUUCUCCAACUAAAACAAAGGAAUACGGUGAAGCCUUACUCCCUUCUGUGCUGGAUGCUUUGAAUGAGAUAGCUUUUCAUCCAAAGUUUUCUUCAUCUCGUGUCGAGAAAGAGAGAAGAGCAAUUCUGUCAGAGCUCCAGAUGAUGAACACAAUUGAGUACCGUGUUGAUUGUCAGUUGUUGCAACAUUUACACUCGGAAAACAAAUUGAGCAACAGAUUUCCUAUUGGACUUGAGGAGCAAAUACUUAAAUGGGAUCCUGAUAAGAUCCGCAAGUUCCAUGAGAGAUGGUAUUAUCCUGCGAAUGCCACUUUAUACCUGGUAGGAGAAAUUGAUGAUAUUCCCAGAGCAGUGCGGGAGAUAGAGGCUGUGUUUGAACAUACACUUACUGGAAACGAAGCAGCCCCUAUGUCGACUGCAGGUCCGUUUGGGGCCAUAUCAAGCCUGUUUGCCCCAAAGCUGCCAGGUAGCUUGGCUGCAAGCCUAAGUGGUGACAGAUCACCUGCCACAGAUAAAAUAAAACCUGUAAAAAGGGAAAGACAGGCAGUUAGACCUCCCGUAGAGCAUAAAUGGUCUCUUCCUGAUGUUUAUCAAGAUGCCAAGCCUCCAGUGAUUUUUAAACAUGAGUUAAUUCAGAGUUUCUCUGUCAACAUGUUUUGUAAGAUACCCGUCAACCAAGUUCAGACAUACAAAGACCUGCGCAGUGUCCUGAUGAAACGGAUAUUUUUAUCUGCUCUGCAUUUUCGAAUCAAUACAAGAUACAAGAGCUCAAAUCCUCCCUUUACGUCAGUUGAGCUGGAUCACAGCGACUCUGGAAGGGAAGGGUGCACGGUGACCACUCUAACAGUAACAGCUGAACCCCAAAAUUGGAGGAGUGCUAUCAAAGUUGCUGUUCAUGAGGUUCGAAGACUCAAAGAGUUUGGUGUCACAAUGGGAGAAAUGACCCGUUAUAUGGAUGCACUAAUAAAAGAUAGUGAGCAGCUCGCUAUGAUGAUUGACAGUGUUCCCUCGGUUGACAACUUGGACUUCAUUAUGGAGAGUGAUGCACUUGGCCAUACUGUCAUGGAUCAGUUGCAGGGACAUGAAAGUUUGCUUGCAGUUGCAGAAACUGUCACGCUUGAAGAGGUUAACACUGUUGGCGCAGAAGUACUUGAAUUUAUUUCUGACUUUGGAAAACCCAAUGCACCACUUCCUGCUGCUAUUGUGGCCUGUGUACCAAGAAAGGUCCAUAUUGAUGGAGUAGGCGAAAGUGAUUUUGAGAUACACCCAGAAGAGAUAACCGAGUCCAUGAAGGCAGGUCUUGAAGAACCCAUUUACCCGGAGCCUGAGCUUGAGGUGCCAAAGGAAUUGAUUACUCAAUCAGAACUUGAAGACUUGAAAUUGCAACACCAACCAUCAUUUGCCCCUUUCGGUAAAGAGCAGGGCGUGGUGAAAGUAUUUGACAGUGAAACUGGUAUAACACAGCGCCGCCUUUCUAAUGGAAUUUCUGUCAACUACAAGAUCACACAAAAUGAGGCACGGGUUGGUGUUAUGCGCCUGAUAGUAGGUGGUGGGAGAGCCACCGAAGAUUCUGAGUCGAAGGGAUCUGUUAUUGUUGGUGUUCGUACUUUGAGUGAAGGUGGCUGUGUUGGUAACUUCUCAAGGGAACAGGUUGAGCUUUUCUGUGUGAACAACCUCAUAAAUUGCUCGCUGGAAUCCAAUGAGGAGUUCAUCUUUAUGGAAUUUAGGUUUGCCUUAAGAGAUAAUGGCAUGCGUGCUGCUUUCCAGCUCCUGCAUAUGGUCCUUGAGCAUAAUGUGUGGCUAGAAGACGCGUUCGAUAGAGCAGCUCAGUUAUAUUUAUCUUACUACCGCUCUAUCCCCAAAAGUUUGGAGCGUGCCACGGCUCACAAGCUUAUGGUAGCCAUGUUGAACCAUGAUGAAAGGUUUGUAGAGCCAUCUCCACAUUCAUUGCAAAAGCUGACUCUUCAGUCAGUUAAAGAAGCCGUCAUGAACCAGUUCGUGGGUAGCAACAUGGAGGUCAGCGUAGUUGGUGAUUUCACAGAAGAAGAGGUAGAAUCUUGUGUUCUUGAUUAUCUUGGGACUGUGAGGGCUGCAAAUUCUUCAAACACGGCGGAGCAUAUUGAGAAGAUCUCCUUCUUGCCGUUUCCAUCGGAUCUGCAUUCCCAGCAAGUAUACAUAAAGGAUACAGAUGAGAGAGCUUGUGCGUACAUUGCUGGCCCGGCACCUAAUCGAUGGGGGUUUGCUACUGAAGGAAAGGACCUCUUUAAUGUAAUUCGAAGUUCUAGCGCAAAUGCAGAAAUCUCUGAACCAGCAAACUCUGGUCUAAUGGAGAAGACACAUAUUAAUGUUCGCAACCAUCCUCUUUUCUUUGGGAUCACUUUGAGUUUACUGGCUGAAAUUAUUAAUUCCAGGCUAUUUACAACAGUUCGAGAUUCCAUGGGAUUAACCUAUGAUGUUUCUUUUGAACUAAAUCUUUUUGACAAACUGGAUCUGGGUUGGUAUGUGAUCGCGGUAACUUCAACCCCGAGCAAGGUCCAUAAAGCUGUGGAUGCAUGCAAAGGUGUUCUCAGAGGUUUACAUUGUAACAAAAUUGUUGAAAGAGAGUUGGACCGGGCAAAGAGGACAUUGCUGAUGAAACACGAGGCUGAGACAAAGACAAAUGCCUAUUGGCUUGGUCUGCUAGCCCAUCUGCAGUCUUCUUCCGUGCCUAGGAAGGAUAUAUCCUGUAUUAAGGAAAUGACGACACUAUAUGAAAGUGCCACAAUUGAGGACUUGUAUCUUGCAUAUGAGCACUUGAAGGUUGAUGAUUCAUCUUUAUUUUCCUGCAUCGGGAUCGCUGGUGCCGAGUCUGGUGAAGACAUGAAUGCAGACGAUGAGCCUGAUAUGGGGGUUCCUGGUAUGGUUCACAUUGGAGGCCGGGGUCUAUCAACCAUGACCAGACCAACCACAUGAGUAGUACAUUUUUUGACGCCCCAACUUUCUCAAGGCAUCAACCUAGCUCCUGAAGAGAGGAUCUGUAUGUGACCGACUGUAUACUAGCAAGGUUGGUGAGAGACAAUCUUUGUCAGCUGCAAGCAAUGAUUUGAUGAAUACAAGAGAGCUUUAUAAAUGAAAGCCCAUAUGCGUCUUUUAGAGCAGCCAGAGAAUUUUUGAGGGAGAGGGUUCAUAUUCAGGAUACUCCUGGCCCAAUAAGUACUAUACUAAAUGUUUCGAUGCCCUCUUCCGUGGCCGAGUACUCCGUCGCCUGGUCGGCGGGCUUGCUUUCAGGUUUUCCGACACCGUGGUCAUCACCGAGGCCGCUCUGUCUGUUCGUGAUUCAGCGGACCAGUUCGGUCGGCGCUCUAGCCUCACCUCUUCCGCUCCAUCAGGUGGGCACAAGGCGCUGCUCCAGAUCUUCCAGAUCUUCUCCCGAUGGACCGUGGCAUGGGUCGGGUCCUCUGACGUUCCAGCCAUGUCGAUUCUCCUGCCGUCUUAUCUCGAGAAGGGCUUGGGGUGGAGGUAACGCCAUGGCAUGGAGGCGGGGCGGCGAGUAGGGUGAGGCAAGGACGGAGACACCCGCGCCCACCAUGGUCCGGCGGCCACCAGCGGUUACGCCCGCACCGGCGCGUCCAUACGUCCGCUCCAUGGCUACAUCUGGCAGCCGGCGUGCGUCGGGGUUUGCUGGCAGUUCCGGGCGGUACCAGCAGCGGCCGGGUUCGGGUGAGCACCACAGAAGGUCGGGAGAGCUUCUUCCCCUACUAGCAUGUUGAGCAACUGCCUGUCCUGCUAACUGGAGGACUUGGUUUUGGUCUAAGAGGUAGAGCAUGAAGGCCACGGCACAGAAGUUGCUCAACCAAAGUAAGGUGCAGCUGUCUCACUAUCUUUCCUUCGGUUUACCAAAUAAUUAACCUUGCUGAUGGUUAUUUUCUUGAAAGAAUCUUACUGAUAUGCAGAUAAACGAGUUAUUUUGAAUUGAGUGAUUGGACAAACUAUGUAGGAUGUUACAACCAGAAGUAAAUAAAUUAUUUUGAAAAACAGUGUCGCGGAUUUGGGCGAUCGGGAUUUUCUCUGUGAGGUGCUGCACUGCGUUGUGACCAGUGUUUUGUUUGGCUGGGGUUUGAUUUGCGUUAUCGUCUUGCCGGGAUUGUUGGGAUUGUUGCAGGGAUGGUGCACAAAGGCAAACUAGCAAACCUCAGCAAUGAUUCAAAUUUCAGAUCACAGGUCACACGGCAGUACAUAACCAGGCAAGGCAACCUUCCGCUUCAGUUUUUGACCAAAGGAUACUGCAUAUAUUGAGUAUUGACUCUAAUAGGCAGUAGAUCUCUAUCCUUUUCACGGAAUGAAUGUCUGGAAGCUAGUAACAGAUAAAAGCACAAAAGAAUAUGAGAAACCAGUGAAAUAAAGCAUGUGCUGAGAUGAGGAGUUGCGCAUUCACAAGAUUCAAUCUGGUUAAACAAAGAAAUUCCAAGACAACUAGUGGUUGACGAAGGGGCUGGAGGCGCUCAGAUCGGGAGAGACUAAGCUAGUACAGAACCAUGGAACAGAGACGAGAGAGAAGAGGGGUUGCCGAAGAGGAUGUAGAGUUGUAGACCGGAUUACAGGACCGGCGGGAGGCGGCGUCGGCGGUCAGAUCGCAAGAACGGCGGCGGUGGCAGUGAUAUGGAGUGGCUCGACUGGAUCCAUGUUUGUCGUCGCUUCUGCCCCUGCCGCAGCUCCCGCACCUCCGCUCGCCGCCGCUCUCUCUGGUUGCCUUGCGCGCCGCCUGUAGCUACGUUUUGGUCGGGGACGGGGAUAAAACACGAGGUCUGGGUCGUGGAUUGUGUUCAAGGCAAAAAGAAGGUCCUGGACGGGGAUAUGCAGGGAUGGGCGGGGAUAAAACUGGCCCAAACUCUAGCGCCAAACGAGCUUCCGGGGAAAGUCGGGGAUUUGGAGUUGGUAGGGGAUAAUACUCCUCAAUCCCCGCCAAUACUCCACUGCCAAACGAGGCCUAAAAAGAUUUUUCCCCUGGUGCACGUUGUUGGACUAGGCUGCUACUUUUAUGAGUGAUCCACAUUUUGCUGGCUAUCGUCGAGGUGUCUCUCCUUCUGCCUCAAGAUGGUCUAUUGGCCUUACUGAUUCCGAAUUCAGAAAGUUGUUGUAGACGAUACAAAGUUUCAGAGAUAAUGUCUAAGAUUGCAGAUUUGCUUCUCCCCUUGCUGUCAGUUCAUGUACCGCAGCAUCACAAUCUGAUUCCAUGUGUACUGGUUUAAACAAGAAUAGCAAUGAUAGAUUUAAUUCUCCCCCGAUGACGAUCAAGAACUCACCAUGCUGACAAGAUUGUUCUACCAUUGUCAUCUCUAAAGGCAGGGCCAAUUGUUCAAUUCUGCUUUUCCUGUCACCGAAGAUAAGAUUUAUUUUGUAAGUGCCAACAUCUCCACCACAGAGAAGUUUUGAAAUCAUGUCAUUGUUGUACUGACUUGAAGGACUAGAACCCAUGUCUCCAUAGGCAAGGUCCAAGGUUAUUUUAAGCGGUGUCAAAGACCUCUAGCUUUUGUACAAAUCACCUUCCCACAAGUGAUAAGUGGGAAUCAGAUCCAAGCUUACACGUUGUUCGGCGAGUAAUGAGAGCACAUUAUAUUGUCUUGCAAAGUGCUUGCAACAGAAUUAUGCAUUUAGAGUUCUUCAGUUGCAGGCUCUAGGUUACAGGGACAAUUUACACUAAUUAAGUUAAGGAUGUCUUGCUUCGAGCCCAUGAAUGGAACAUAUUCUAUGCACAUCAGCAGCGGCGGCUCUGCCCAUCAACAGCCAUUCAGAUUAGAGUGGCCGAUGAUCUAUCCACUCUAUAGUUUAGCUCAAGCAAUGUACAAACCUGCAGAAAUCUCUAUCGGACCCAUCUGGACAGUAGAAAGAUGUAUCGGCCCCCUCUAAACCAGUUAAGUCAGACCAUGUAAUGUUGUCGUCUGGCACAGUCCAGUGAACCGGCAUAUUCUCCGUAUAAUCCAGUGUGAAUGUUGUUGUCCA